rnacentral:tRNA from 1 species
GCCCUCGUAGCUCAGAGGAUAGAGUACCGCCCUCCGGAGGCGGGAGCGCAGGUUCGAAUCCUGCCGGGGGCGCCA